rnacentral:lncRNA from 1 species
GGAGUAGCCAAGUAGGAGGUGUAGUGCCUGCUGAAGGGGAAAUAAAAACAAAAUAGGAAUUGAUGCUGCAAGCAGGUUGCUAGAAGUUAGGUUUGAGGUGGGCUUAGAGAUGAUGAAGUUCUAAAGGGUUGCUAAGCCCCUGCCUGUGCUGCUAAUAGGUUGGGGUUAGCAGGGGCAUCCCAGCCCUCCUAGAGGCUUAAAAUAAAGUUGGUAAUGAGGUUAGGCAUUGUUUUUGAAGUAAUUUGUGGUUGGAUUGACUGCAGGUCACCUGUGAUUGCUCCAAAUAGCAGAGGGAGAGAAAAUCUUUGUGUUGGCCAUGGAGAAGGUGUGAACAGGAACACAGGGGAUGGCAGAUCUACUGGAAUGAUGAAUGUUUCAGGGCUGAUGUCUUCUGGCUAUCAUGAAGUUCUGCAAGGGGAAAUGCCAAGUCCUAUACCUGGGGAAGAACAAACCUAGAACAUGAUAGGGUCACCCAUCUGGAAAGCAGCCUCGAAGGAAAGGACCUUGAGGUCCUGGUGGACAUCAAGCUGAACAUGAGACAGCAAUGUGUCCUUAACUGCAAGAACAUCUAACAGUAGUCUGGACUGCGUUAGGCAAAGCAUUGCCAGUGGGUCAAGUGAGAUGAUUCUUCCCCUCUACCAAAUACUGAUGUGGCCACACUGUGCCCAGAUCUGGGCUCACCUGUACAAGCACAGCAUGGAGCGACUGGAGAGAGUUCAAUGACUGAUGAUUAAGGGAGAAGAGCAUCUUUUCUAUGAAGAAAGGCUGAGAGACCUGGGGUUGUUUAGCCUGGGGAAUCAAAGGAUUGUAGAAUAUCCCUAACUGGAAGGCAGUUACAAGGCCUGAGUCCAAUUCCUGUCUCAAAACAAGUCUACCUAAAAAUCAAACCACAUGUUUGAGAGUGUUGUCCAAACUCUUCCUGAAGAGAUGUAGAGAAGAAUCUUAUCAACAUCUACAAAUACUUGAGGAGAGGGUGCAAAGAAGAUGGAGCCAGGUUCUUCUCAGCAGUGCCAAGGGCCAG